UACAGAGGUCUCAAGCGUUGUUCGGAAUCACUGGGCGUAAAGGGUGCGUAGGCGGCACGGUAAGUCAGAGGUGAAAUCCCGGAGCUCAACUUCGGAAUUGCCUCCGAUACUGCCGUGCUUGAGGACUGGAGAGGAGAUUGGAAUUCACAGUGGAGCAGUGAAAUGCGUAGAUAUUGUGAGGAACACUAGUGGUGAAGGCGAAUCUCUGGACAGUUCCUGACGCUGAGGCACGAAGGCCAGGGGAGCAAACGGG
rnacentral:rRNA from 1 species